rnacentral:rRNA from 1 species
GUGGGGAAUAUUGGACAAUGGGCGCAAGCCUGAUCCAGCCAUGCCGCGUGUGUGAAGAAGGCCUUCGGGUUGUAAAGCACUUUUGUUGGGAAAGAAAUCCUGUCGGCUAAUACCCGGCGGGGAUGACGGUACCCAAAGAAUAAGCACCGGCUAACUUCGUGCCAGCAGCCGCGGUAAUACGAAGGGUGCAAGCGUUACUCGGAAUUACUGGGCGUAAAGCGUGCGUAGGUGGUUCGUUAAGUCAGAUGUGAAAGCCCCGGGCUCAACCUGGGAAUUGCAUUUGAUACUGGCGGACGAGAGUGCGGUAGAGGAGAGUGGAAUUCCCGGUGUAGCAGUGAAAUGCGUAGAGAUCGGGAGGAACAUCAGUUGCGAAGGCGGCUCUCUGGACCAGCACUGACACUGAGGCACGAAAGCGUGGGGAGCAAACAGGAUUAGAAACCCGGGUAGUCC